rnacentral:lncRNA from 10 species
GAAAAAUAGUAGUCUAGUCAUUCAAGUGAAAGGUCCAAGAAAGGAAGAAAGAAAAAUUUAUCAAAAAGAAAACACAAGAAGUAUUCUGAAGAUAGCGACAGUGACUCUGAUUCUGAAACAGACUCCAGUGAUGAAGACACAAAAAUGAGAGCAAAGACAGCUAAGAAAAAGGAAAAGAAAUGCAGAUGGCCAGAUUUUUUCCUUUAAUUUUUAUUAUGGAAAAGGUCAAAUGUGUAUAAACAUACAUAGAAUGGUAUAAUGAUCCCUCAGGCACGUAGCACCCAGCUUGAACAAUUAACAACUUGUGGGAAAUUGCCAUUGCCCCCUAAUUAAUUUGAAACCAAUCCCAGGUAUAAUGUCAUUUAUAAACAAUUCAGCAU